UAGGGAAUCUUCCACAAUGGGCGCAAGCCUGAUGGAGCAACACCGCGUGAGUGAAGAAGGGUUUCGGCUCGUAAAGCUCUGUUGUUGGAGAAGAACGUGCGUGAGAGUAACUGUUCACGCAGUGACGGUAUCCAACCAGAAAGUCACGGCUAACUACGUGCCAGCAGCCGCGGUAAUACGUAGGUGGCAAGCGUUAUCCGGAUUUAUUGGGCGUAAAGCGAGCGCAGGCGGUUGCUUAGGUCUGAUGUGAAAGCCUUCGGCUUAACCGAAGAAGUGCAUCGGAAACCGGGCAACUUGAGUGCAGAAGAGGACAGUGGAACUCCAUGUGUAGCGGUGGAAUGCGUAGA
rnacentral:rRNA from 1 species